GACAUGCAAGUCGAACGGAAGCCGUGCGAGAGACGAUUGACGAUUAUCUGAUUGAGUCUCAUGCACAAUGACUUAGUGGCGGACUGGUGAGUAACACGUAAGCAACCUGCCUAUCAGAGGGGAAUAACAGUGAGAAAUCAUUGCUAAUACCGCAUAUGCUCACGGUAUCGCAUGAUACAGUGAGGAAAGGAGCAAUCCGCUGAUAGAUGGGCUUGCGCCUGAUUAGCUAGUUGGUGGGGUAACGGCCUACCAAGGCGACGAUCAGUAGCCGGACUGAGAGGUUGAACGGCCACAUUGGGACUGAGAUACGGCCCAGACUCCUACGGGAGGCAGCAGUCGGGAAUAUUGCGCAAUGGAGGAAACUCUGACGCCAGUGACGCCGCGUAUAGGAUGAAGGUUCUCGGAUUGUAAACUAUUGUCAUUAGGGAAGAUAAAAGACUGUACCUAAAGAGGAAGCCCCGGCUAACUAUGUGCCAGCAGCCGC
rnacentral:rRNA from 1 species